UGUGUGUUAGUGGAAGCGUCUGGAAAGGCGCGCGAUACAGGGUGACAGCCCCGUACACAAAAAUGCACAUGCUGUGAGCUCGAUGAGUAGGGCGGGACACGUGGUAUCCUGUCUGAAUAUGGGGGGACCAUCCUCCAAGGCUAAAUACUCCUGACUGACCGAUAGUGAACCAGUACCGUGAGGGAAAGGCGAAAAGAACCCCGGCGAGGGGAGUGAAAAAGAACCUGAAACCGUGUACGUACAAGCAGUGGGAGCACGCUUAGGCGUGUGACUGCGUACCUUUUGUAUAAUGGGUCAGCGACUUAUAUUCUGUAGCAAGGUUAACCGAAUAGGGGAGCCGAAGGGAAACCGAGUCUUAACUGGGCGUUAAGUUGCAGGGUAUAGACCCGAAACCCGGUGAUCUAGCCAUGGGCAGGUUGAAGGUUGGGUAACACUAACUGGAGGACCGAACCGACUAAUGUUGAAAAAUUAGCGGAUGACUUGUGGCUGGGGGUGAAAGGCCAAUCAAACCGGGAGAUAGCUGGUUCUCCCCGAAAGCUAUUUAGGUAGCGCCUCGUGAAUUCAUCUCCGGGGGUAGAGCACUGUUUCGGCAAGGGGGUCAUCCCGACUUACCAACCCGAUGCAAACUGCGAAUACCGGAGAAUGUUAUCACGGGAGACACACGGCGGGUGCUAACGUCCGUCGUGAAGAGGGAAACAACCCAGACCGCCAGCUAAGGUCCCAAAGUCAUGGUUAAGUGGGAAACGAUGUGGGAAGGCCCAGACAGCCAGGAUGUUGGCUUAGAAGCAGCCAUCAUUUAAAGAAAGCGUAAUAGCUCACUGGUCGAGUCGGCCUGCGCGGAAGAUGUAACGGGGCUAAACCAUGCACCGAAGCUGCGGCAGCGACGCUGAUGCGUUGUUGGGUAGGGGAGCGUUCUGUAAGCCUGC
rnacentral:rRNA from 1 species